UGCUAGGAUACCAUUUGGUGGUCAACUGUCUCCAGUGCAGCUGCUAUUACUUGCCAGACUGACAGACAUAUUAGCUUUUAUCCCCCCUAAUGCUCGGGCUACAGAAAGUUUCCCUUCAUUUUAUUCCAUUUUGAUUUGGGGGGAGAGAUCAAGGUAAAGGUGCAGAAAGUACAGAAACACAAAGAAGCUACGGUGCACUUGAAUGUUGGUCUUCAUAUAUUUGAGAUGUGAUGAUUCCUGACAGCAACAGUGUCUUCAGAAUCAGGCACUGAGAGAAGGCGACCUCUAACAGAUGAAUGGCAGUGCUCAAAUUCAGAUUUAAGAAUUGGAUUAUGACUGAAGUGAUAGCACUCCUAUAUGACUGUCAACAUUUACUCUUUAUUCCAGAAAGAAAUGCAAAAAUGUUACAUUUUCAGAUGUCUGUCUUAACUGUAAUUCUUCACAGAAACUACUUGCUGCCAAGUUAAUGAAGAAUGGAACAUUCAGCAAAAUAGAAAAUCCAUAUCAACAUCACCCCAGAUAAUAUCACUUAAUAAAGAGUUUAAUAUCACUUCA
rnacentral:lncRNA from 1 species